UUGCAAAGCAAGACGACAUAAGCUGCGACAACAAUAGUGAUUAAACUGUCAUGGAGUUCCUUGACCAACGGUUUGAGGUCUGUUAAAUGACCGGAUUGCGGAUUGGUUCAGGUCGGAGAGGCAGAUACCUUGGCGCCAGGAAGCUUCCUAAAUCAGGCCCGUGACAGAUAGGUAGAGCAUGCAAUGCUUAGAAGUCGUGAUGCAGUUGCAAAGAAUGCGUAAUAGGCCAAGGGUUGCAUUUGAAAACAUUGAGAAAUCCUUUCCAAAACCUCGUCUGCUGCCGCAUCAAAAUUCCAAUUGAGGGAGUCGGACUGAACUUACGCAUCAAGAUUCAAACAGAAGAGAAGUUCACUGAACCGCUGUUGACAGGAUUCGGCAAUUGCAGGGUUGGUGGAAGUGAACCUGACAUGGGCAAUGCUACUUGUGAAUGAAGGAAUCAUGAUGGAAGCAAGCUAACAUGCAUCUUGGAGGAUAAAUCAUGACUCAUGGGGAAUUCUUUUGGACAUUCCAUUUGCUUGUUUUUUUUGUUGGAUGAUGGAUUAUCAUCAUGCUGUUGUUGGAUUCUUUUUUUUGGAAUGAAUUAUUGGAAUGCUUGAAUUUAGAUUCUUGAUGGAGUUUUGAUUGUUCAUUAAGAUUGUAUUUGUAGGAUUUAUGUAAUAUGAUGAACUUGUAAGAAAAUGUUGUGAAAUGCAAUUUGGAACAUGACUUUGUAAUUUAUGGAAAUGUUGUAAUGCUUGUGUAAUGUCAUGGUUUUAUGAUUUAUGCGCU